CCAGUGCUAAUACAGAAUUCCCCUAUAAUCUUCUGAACAAUUGCCAUGUUCCCUUACUAUCUCUGGCUUGAGAGAUCAAAAUUACUGCUGCUUCUGUCACCACCACAUAGUCCUACACAUAGUGUUUCAUCAUAAUGGGCUCUGGGUCACCCUCAACCCCAUGUGGCAAAAGUCUCUUUCCAAACUACUAUGUUGUCUUAGGCUAGAAGAAUGUUUCAUUCUGAAUUGUUUGUUAGUUCUGUCAUUCCAGAAUUCAAGUUGAGGUGCUAUUUUAAAAAUAUUUGGAAGGCAAUGUAGAGAAAGCUCAGUUAAGCAAUUUCUCUUCUUUGCCACCUUGGCUCUGCCCCCAGAAGGUCUGUUUCAGAUAUUUACUGGAACUGAUAUAAAAGAACUGGAUUUUUCUGUGGCCUUUCACAUUGUCAUGAUGUACAGAAGUCUGAUUUCCAUUUCUUGCCAGAGGAAGCAAAGCCUUGCCAAAAGCCAGAACCUUUAUCCAAGAGAACAGAACAGUUGAUCUUAACACCUUUGAACAGAUGGAAGAAGCACCAAAUGGGAGAAGCAGGAAUAGAAAAGAAAAAUAUACCUCUUAUGUGCUAACCUUGGCCCAGAAAGGACAAUAAUGUAUAAAGUGGAAGUGUCAAGAGAAAAAUUAUCAUCUUUUCAAAAGUCAAUGUACCUUUAAUUUAAAAAGUACAACUGAGUGCCAUUUUCUAGACAGAUGAUUCCCAACUUCGUAUCUCUUGCUGUUCUUUGGAUAGCUUCUGUUAUUUCUUUUCCAUCUGUUAUUUUCAUUCAUUUCAGCUAGAUUUUCCAAAUUGGAGGAUCUUAUUUUGGGAACGGAGGAUUCUAGAAAUGUAACCCCAUUUACAGAGAAUAAAGUUUUACAUUAGUAAAGAAAAAAUG
rnacentral:lncRNA from 1 species